rnacentral:rRNA from 1 species
UACGUAGGGUGCAAGCGUUGUCCGGAAUUAUUGGGCGUAAAGAGCUUGUAGGCGGUUUGUCGCGUCUGCUGUGAAAUUUCGGGGCUCAACCCCGAACUUGCAGUGGGUACGGGCAGACUAGAGUGUGGUAGGGGAGACUGGAAUUCCUGGUGUAGCGGUGAAAUGCGUAGAUAUCUGGAGGAACACCGGUGGCGAAGGCGGCGUUCUGGACUGCAACUGACACUGAGGAACGAAAGCCAGGGGAGCAAACGGG